rnacentral:rRNA from 1 species
UAGGGAAUCUUCCGCAAUGGACGAAAGUCUGACGGAGCAACGCCGCGUGAGUGAAGAAGGAUUUCGGUUCGUAAAACUCUGUUGUUAGAGAAGAACAGCGCAUAGAGUAACUGUUAUGCGUGUGACGGUAUCUAACCAGAAAGCCACGGCUAACUACGUGCCAGCAGCCGCGGUAAUACGUAGGUGUCAAGCGUUGUCCGGAUUUAUUGGGCGUAAAGCGAGCGCAGGCGGUAAAUUAAGUCUGAUGUGAAAGCCCCCGGCUCAACCGGGGAGGGUCAUUGGAAACUGGUUGACUUGAGGGCAGAAGAGGAGAGUGGAAUUCCAGGUGUAGAGGUGAAAUGCGUAGAUAGAUGGAGGAAAACCAGUGGCGAAGGCGACUCUCUGGUCUGUAACUAACGCUGAGGCUCGAAAGCGUGGGUAGCAAACAGG